rnacentral:rRNA from 1 species
GACGAACGCUGGCGGCGUGCUUAACACAUGCAAGUCGAACGAUGAAGCCGGAGCUUGCUCUGGUGAAUUAGUGGCGAACGGGUGAGUAACACGUGAGUAACCUGCCCUUGACUCUGGGAUAACUGCUAGAAAUGGUAGCUAAUACCGGAUACGACCCUCGGAGGCAUCUCCAGGGGGUGGAAAGAAUUUCGGUCAAGGAUGGACUCGCGGCCUAUCAGCUAGUUGGUGAGGUAACGGGUCACCAAGGCGACGACGGGUAGCCGGCCUGGGAGGGUGAGCGGCCACACUGGGACUGAGACACGGCCCAGACUCCUACGGGAGGCAGCAGUGGGGAAUAUUGCACAAUGGGCGCAAGCCUGAUGCAGCAACGCCGCGUGAGGGAUGACGGCCUUCGGGUUGUAAACCUCUUUUAGUAGGGAAGAAGCGAAAGUGACGGUACCUGCAGAAAAAGCACCGGCUAACUACGUGCCAGCCGCCGCGGUAA